rnacentral:lncRNA from 13 species
AAAAUUUGUGACUAUCUUUCAGAGUUCCAGAGAUGUGUGAAAUUAGAGUAUUUUGCAUGUCCUACCAUGAGCUAGCAGGAUAUUGAAUCUGAAUUCUGAUCAACUAAUUGAAUUAAUACUGGAAUAAGAAUGAAUGGCUUAUCGUAAGCCUCGUAAGACAUUGUCUAAGAAUUUGCACAAUCAGUGUUCUUGUUUGGCUAACUUAUAUGGAAAAGGAACUUACUGAAACAAUACUUCAUCAUUCACAGAAUCAAAUUGGAGGCUUGGAAAAAGUGUGGCAACAAAGCAAGGCAGCAGGAAAUCCAGUCAUGCUAAUGACAUGAGGAGUUUGAAAUGGCCAUGUGGCAGCCUCAGCUUCCAGUUCUUUGAAACCAUUGAAAUGAAAACUUGUCCUGGCCCCUGAACGUAUUGCCAGCUGUCAUCCCUGCUUCUAUGAUGCAUGUGUAGGGCGGAGAUUCAGCUAAAUGGAGCAUCUAUGGCAAGAAGCUUCAAGGUGAGCAUGAAGAAAAUAGAGUAAGUUCUCAUGUCCUACUCAUGGAUUUCUCAUCCAGCCUUCCAGCUGGAGCACAGCACGCAGUUGCUGAGUUGAUCCUGACAGCAUGUCCUCUCAAGGACUGAGAUUGUCGGUGACUUUUUCUGUGUGUGAUGAAUCAUGAGGUGUCUUAGCAGAAGUGAGAAGAUUGGAAUAGGCUAAUUAGCUUCUGAAAGUUAAAAAUUGAUGUGGUAGAAGAAAAAUAAUAAUUAUUUUUGCUUAACCUCUAUUUUCCAUAUCAAAAUAAGAUACACUAAGUGACAGAAACUUUGCUUUUAAAGACAAGUAAGGACGCAAGAAAGAUGUCUGCUCUGAAUUCAUCAUUCACAUGGCUAACUUUCUUCCUUCUUUUGGGUCUUUGCUGAAAUGUCAUUUUAUCCCAGAGGACAUCUCUGAGCACCAUGUGUAAAAUGGCAACAUCCCCUAAUACUAAACACCCCAACCCCCUUGCUCUCCUUUAUUGAUCCCUAUGCCCCAUCAGGAAUGGGAACUGACUUGGCAGUGACUUGGUGUCUUGUUCACUGUUGUUUCUACAAUGUAUGGUUAUGGUUGACAUAAAUAUUUAAAUGUCAAUUGGCAUUUGAUGAAUAAAACAUAAAUGUGUUUGCUUGAGUAUUUAUUA